GUUACAGAGACAGAGGGGUAGGUUACAUAUACAGAGGGGUAGGUUACAUAUACAGAGGGGUAGGUUACAGAGACAGAGGGGUAGGUUACAUAUACAGAGGGGUAGGUUACAGAGACAGAGGGGUAGGUUACAUAUACAGAGGGGUAGGUUACAUAUACAGAGGGGUAGGUUACAGAGACAGAUGGGUAGGUUACAUAUACAGAGGGGUAGGUUACAUAUACAGAGGGGUAGGUUACAUAUACA